rnacentral:rRNA from 1 species
UACGUAGGUGGCAAGCGUUGUCCGGAAUUAUUGGGCGUAAAGCGCGCGCAGGUGGUUCCUUAAGUCUGAUGUGAAAGCCCACGGCUCAACCGUGGAGGGUCAUUGGAAACUGGGGAACUUGAGUGCAGAAGAGGAAAGUGGAAUUCCUGGUGUAGCGGUGGAAUGCGCAGAUAUCAGGAGGAACACCAGCGGCGAAGGCGGCGCUCUGGGCCGGUACUGACACUGAGGAGCGAAAGCGUGGGUAGCAAACAGG